GCUUCCUUGGCUCAGUUGGUAGAGCGUCAGUCUCAUAUUACAUAUGAUGCUGAGAUUCGGCAAUAAUCUGAAGGUCGCCAGUUCGAGCCUGGCAGGGAGCA